rnacentral:rRNA from 1 species
UGCGCGUGCUUAACAUGCAGUCGAACGGUGAACACGGAGCUUGCUCUGUGGGAUCAGUGGCGAACGGGUGAGUAACACGUGAGCAACCUGCCCCUGACUCUGGGAUAAGCGCUGGAAACGGCGUCUAAUACUGGAUAUGUGACGCGACCGCAUGGUCUGUGUCUGGAAAGAAUUUCGGUUGGGGAUGGGCUCGCGGCCUAUCAGCUUGUUGGUGAGGUAAUGGCUCACCAAGGCGUCGACGGGUAGCCGGCCUGAGAGGGUGACCGGCCACACUGGGACUGAGACACGGCCCAGACUCCUACGGGAGGCAGCAGUGGGGAAUAUUGCACAAUGGGCGCAAGCCUGAUGCAGCAACGCCGCGUGAGGGACGACGGCCUUCGGGUUGUAAACCUCUUUUAGCAGGGAAGAAGCGAAAGUGACGGUACCUGCAGAAAAAGCGCCGGCUAACUACGUGCCAGCAGCCGCGGUAAUACGUAGGGCGCAAGCGUUAUCCGGAAUUAUUGGGCGUAAAGAGCUCGUAGGCGGUUUGUCGCGUCUGCUGUGAAAUCCCGAGGCUCAACCUCGGGCCUGCAGUGGGUACGGGCAGACUAGAGUGCGGUAGGGGAGAUUGNAAUUCCUGGUGUAGCGGUGGAAUGCGCAGAUAUCAGGAGGAACACCGAUGGCGAAGGCAGAUCUCUGGGCCG